rnacentral:rRNA from 1 species
CCUACGGGUGGCUGCAGUGAGGAAUAUUGGUCAAUGGGCGGGAGCCUGAACCAGCCAAGUCGCGUGAGGGAAGACGGUCCUAUGGAUUGUAAACCUCUUUAGGCGGGGAGCAAUGCCGGGCACGCGUGCCCGGAGGGAGAGUACCCGCAGAAUAAGCAUCGGCUAACUCCGUGCCAGCAGCCGCGGUAAUACGGAGGAUGCGAGCGUUAUCCGGAUUUAUUGGGUUUAAAGGGUGCGUAGGCGGAUUUUUAAGUCAGCGGUAAAAUGUCCGGGCUCAACCCGGGCCGGCCGUUGAAACUGGGGAUCUUGAGUGGGCGAGAAGUAUGCGGAAUGCGUGGUGUAGCGGUGAAAUGCAUAGAUAUUAGGAAGAACACCAGUGGCGAAGGCGACUUUCUGGACAGUAACUGACGUUGAGGCACGAAAGUGUGGGGAGUAAACAGGAUUAGAUACCCUGGUAGUC